UCCCUGGUGGUCCAGUGGUUAGGAUUCUGCACUUUCAAUGCUGAGGGCCCAGGUUCAAUCCCUGGUCAGAGAA
rnacentral:tRNA from 2 species